GCUGGCGGCGUGCCUAAUACAUGCAAGUCGAGCGAAUCUUUGGGAGCUUGCGUCCCAAGGUUAGCGGCGGACGGGCUGAGUAACACGUGGGCAACCUGCCUGUAAGACUGGGAUAACGUCGGGAAACCGGAGCUAAUACCGGAUAAUCUUUUUCCUCUCAUGAGGAAAAACUGAAAGACGGUUUCGGCUGUCACUUACAGAUGGGCCCGCGGCGCAUUAGCUAGUUGGUGAGGUAAGCGCUCACCAAGGCGACGAUGCGUAGCCGACCUGAGAGGGUGAUCGGCCACACUGGGACUGAGACACGGCCCAGACUCCUACGGGAGGCAGCAGUAGGGAAUCUUCCACAAUGGACGAAAGUCUGAUGGAGCAACGCCGCGUGAGCGAUGAAGGCCUUCGGGUCGUAAAGCUCUGUUGUUAGGGAAGAACAAGUAUCGGAGUAACUGCCGGUACCUUGACGGUACCUAACCAGAAAGCCACGGCUAACUACGUGCCAGCAGCCGCGGUAAUACGUAGGUGGCAAGCGUUGUCCGGAAUUAUUGGGCGUAAAGCGCGCGCAGGCGGUCCUUUAAGUCUGAUGUGAAAGCCCACGGCUCAACCGUGGAGGGUCAUUGGAAACUGGGGGACUUGAGUGCAGAAGAGGAAAGCGGAAUUCCACGUGUAGCGGUGAAAUGCGUAGAGAUGUGGAGGAACACCAGUGGCGAAGGCGGCUUUCUGGUCUGUAACUGACGCUGAGGCGCGAAAGCGUGGGGAGCAAACAGGAUUAGAUACCCUGGUAGUCCACGCCGUAAACGAUGAGUGCUAAGUG
rnacentral:rRNA from 1 species